GGGAAGAUGCUGGCGGGGAAGGACGUGUGUAAGGAGCUCCUGCUGUGGACGGCUUUCAGCCUGUGCCAGAGGGGAGUGGACACGUGGACCACAACCUCUGACCCCAGCAGCCCACGGACCCCAGGGAGCAGCCAGUGCUGGGGAACUAAGAGAUCCCAAUGCCUCCUGGACUACAACGCCUGAGACUGUGGUAGGAAGUGAUCCAGGGGUGGUGUCGGAGUGGUAUCUCCCACCGAGAUUAUAUGGGGUCCAGUCUUGAAACCCCUCAACUGCAGAAUUAGACUCGUAGUUCCUAAAUUCACGUACUUCUCUGGAUCCACUUGUCUAAGGACCACGUGCUUUGCUGUAAGCUCUUGGUGAUGUGCUUCCUCCUUCUCUGUCCCUGCAACCAGAGGUCCGCUACCCAGCAGGGUCAACUCAGCCCUUCAUCUUUCUGAAGGUGAUUAAUCAAGUUCCAUGUAGUUUACUGUGGG